AAAUAAGAAGCAAAAAAAUUGCAUUUAGUUUCGACCUAAAAAUUAGGUAUAAAUACCCUUAUUUA
rnacentral:tRNA from 1 species